AAGACCGUACUAACUAGGAUCAUUUCUAUAGUAUGCGUCCUGUCAUUGUAAUUCUACAAAGACAACCCGUCAAACCAUGAUGAUGAGCUGAAGUGGUGGCACCUGAGCGUGAUGCUAAACUCGUGAAGAUCUAACGAUCUAAAUGAGUUUUAGAUGAUCGUUCCAUUUGACGAAUCUGUCAAAUGGAGGGUGCCGCUACCAGCUGAAUGGU